UACAGAGGGGGCAAGCGUUGUUCGUAAUUACUGGGCGUAAAGGGCGCGUAGGCGGCCUGCUAAGUCGAACGUGAAAUCCCUGGGCUCAACCCAGGAACUGCGUCCGAUACUGGUUGGCUUGAAUCCGGGAGAGGGAUGUGGAAUUCCAGGUGUAGCGGUGAAAUGCGUAGAUAUCUGGAGGAACACCGGUGGCGAAGGCGGCAUCCUGGACCGAUACUGACGCUGAGGAGCGAAAGCCAGGGGAGCAAACGGG
rnacentral:rRNA from 1 species